GAUGAACGCUGGCGGCGUGCCUAAUACAUGCAAGUCGAGCGAACAGACGAGGAGCUUGCUCCUCUGACGUUAGCGGCGGACGGGUGAGUAACACGUGGAUAACCUACCUAUAAGACUGGGAUAACUUCGGGAAACCGGUGCUAAUACCGGAUAAUAUAUUGAACCGCAUGGUUCAAUAGUGAAAGACGGUUUUGCUGUCACUUAUAGAUGGAUCCGCGCCGCAUUAGCUAGUUGGUAAGGUAACGGCUUACCAAGGCGACGAUGCGUAGCCGACCUGAGAGGGUGAUCGGCCACACUGGAACUGAGACACGGUCCAGACUCCUACGGGAGGCAGCAGUAGGGAAUCUUCCGCAAUGGGCGAAAGCUUGACGGAGCAACGCCGCGUGAGUGAUGAAGGUCUUCGGAUCGUAAAACUCUGUUAUUAGGGAAGAACAAAUGUGUAAGUAACUAUGCACGUCUUGACGGUACCUAAUCAGAAAGCCACGGCUAACUACGUG
rnacentral:rRNA from 1 species